rnacentral:rRNA from 1 species
UAACGAAUCUUCCGCAAUGCACGAAAGUGUGACGGAGCGACGCCGCGUGGAGGAGAAGCCCUUCGGGGUGUAAACUCCUGUCAGGGGUUACCAAGUUCUGAGGAGCCCCAGAGGAAGGCACGGCUAACUCUGUGCCAGCAGCCGCGGUAAGACAGAGGUGCCGAGCGUUAGGCGGAAUCACUGGGCUUAAAGCGUGUGUAGGCGGGUCGUUAAGUGCCUUGUGAAAUCCCACGGCUCAACCGUGGAACUGCUGGGCAUACUGGCGAUCUUGAGCCAACUAGGGGCAACUGGAACAAACGGUGGAGCGGUGAAAUGCGUAGAUAUCGUUUGGAACGCCAAUGGUGAAAACAGGUUGCUGGGGUUGUGCUGACGCUGAGACACGAAAGCCAGGGGAGCGAACGGGAUUAGAUACCCCCGUAGUCC